UCGAGAAUUUUUCACAAUGGGGGAAACCCUGAUGGAGCGACGCCGCGUGGGGGAUGAAUGGCUUCGGCCCGUAAACCCCUGUCAUUUGCGAUCAAACCUCGCUAUUUAAAAGAUGGCGGGCUGAUAGUAGCGGAAGAGGAAGGGACGGCUAACUCUGUGCCAGCAGCCGCGGUAAUACAGAGGUCCCGAGCGUUGUUCGGAUUCACUGGGCGUAAAGGGUGCGUAGGUGGUGAGGCAAGUCGGAUGUGAAAUCUCGGAGCUUAACUCCGAAACUGCAUUGGAAACUGCCUUGCUUGAGGAUUGGAGGGGGGACUGGAAUACUUGGUGUAGCAGUGAAAUGCGUAGAUAUCAAGUGGAACACCAGUGGCGAAGGCGAGUCCCUGGACAAAUCCUGACACUGAGGCACGAAAGCUAGGGGAGCAAACAGG
rnacentral:rRNA from 1 species